CCUACGGGUGGCAGCAGUGAGGAAUAUUGGUCAAUGGGAGAGAUCCUGAACCAGCCAAGCCGCGUGAGGGAAGACGGCCCUAUGGAUUGUAAACCUCUUUUGUCGGGGAGCAAAAGACGCCACGCGUGGCGUUCCGAGAGUACCCGAAGAAAAAGCAUCGGCUAACUCCGUGCCAGCAGCCGCGGUAAUACGGAGGAUGCGAGCGUUAUCCGGAUUGAUUGGGUUUAAAGGGUGCGCAGGCGGAAGAUCAAGUCAGCGGUAAAAUUGAGAGGCUCAACCUCUUCGAGCCGUUGAAACUGGUUUUCUGGAGUGAGUGAGAAGGAUGCGGAAUGUGUGGUGUAGCGGUGAAAUGCAUAGAUAUCACGCAGAACUCCGAUUGCGAAGGCAGCAUACCGGCGCUCAACUGACGCUCAUGCACGAAAGUGUGGGUAUCGAACAGGAUUAGAUACCCGAGUAGUC
rnacentral:rRNA from 1 species